GACUGGUGCUUGCACUGGUCUAAGGAGUUGCGAACGGGUGAGUAACGCGUAGGUAACCUACCUCAUAGCGGGGAUAACUAUUGGAAACGAUAGCUAAUACCGCAUGACAAUAGGGUACACAUGUACCUAUUUAAAAGGGCAAAUGCUUCACUAUGAGAUGGACCUGCGUUGUAUUAGCUAGUUGGUAAGGUAACGGCUUACCAAGGCGACGAUACAUAGCCGACCUGAGAGGGUGAUCGGCCACACUGGGACUGAGACACGGC
rnacentral:rRNA from 1 species